AGAGUUUGAUCCUGGCUCAGGAUGAACGCUAGCGGCAGGCCUAAUACAUGCAAGUCGAACGGGGUGAUUCAGCAAUGGAUCAUUCAGUGGCGCACGGGUGCGUAACGCGUAUGCAACCUACCUUAAACUGGGGGAUAGCCUUCCGAAAGGGAGAUUAAUACCGCAUAAGAUCACACGAGGGCAUCUGAGAGUGAUUAAAGAUUUAUUGGUUUAAGAUGGGCAUGCGUGCCAUUAGCUAGUUGGUAGGGUAACGGCCUACCAAGGCUACGAUGGCUAGGGGUUCUGAGAGGAUGAUCCCCCACACUGGUACUGAGAUACGGACCAGACUCCUACGGGAGGCAGCAGUAGGGAAUAUUGGGCAAUGGACGCAAGUCUGACCCAGCCAUGCCGCGUGCAGGAUGAAGGCCUUCUGGGUUGUAAACUGCUUUUAUCUAGGAAGAAAACGCCCAUGCGUGGGAAACUGACGGUACUAGAUGAAUAAGCACCGGCUAACUCCGUGCCAGCAGCCGCGGUAAUACGGAGGGUGCAAGCGUUGUCCGGAUUUAUUGGGUUUAAAGGGUGCGUAGGCGGCCCGUUAAGUCAGUGGUGAAAGCCUCCAGCUCAACUGGAGAACUGCCAUUGAUACUGACGGGCUUGAGUACAGACGAGGUUGGCGGAAUUGAUUGUGUAGCGGUGAAAUGCAUAGAUACAAUCAAGAACUCCGAUUGCGUAGGCAGCUAACUAGGCUGUAACUGACGCUGAGGCACGAAAGCGUGGGGAGCGAACAGGAUUAGAUACCCUGGUAGUCCACGCCGUAAACGAUGAUUACUCGAUGUUGGCGAUAAACUGUCAGCGUCUUAGCGAAAGCGUUAAGUAAUCCACCUGGGGAGUACGCCCGCAAGGGUGAAACUCAAAGGAAUUGACGG
rnacentral:rRNA from 1 species